AGACUGGAAAUCUCCAAUCAGCGAUUGGCGAAUUGUAAUCUGAAGCAGCUGGCCUAACUGGGAGCGUCGCAGAAGUGUCCACGAGCGGACCGCCAAAGAGGGUGAGAGCCCCGUAUGUGGUGACGAGACCAACCGGGCAGGUUGUAGAAGAGUCGUGUACUUUGAUACUAGUGCACUAAGAGGGAGAUAAACUUCUUCUAAGGCUAAAUAUAUGUAGGAAACCGAUAGCGAACAAGUACUGUGAAGGAAAGAUGAAAAGCACUUUGGAAAGAGAGUUAAAAGACUUGAAAUCGUUGAGGCGGAAGCGGUAGAAAUGAAUUGAAAGCUGGGCCCGGCGAAGUCUGCGUAAAAGCGGACGGGUUGGGCGCAGAAAGAAGACAAGAUGGGGUCGAACAAUGUCAAAGGUGGAGUAGAACCGGGGCAAUAGCUCAUUCUACACUAACUGGAUGUUGAUCGGCUUGAGGAGCUUAGGCGAUCUUGUCAAAAUGGUUUUUACCGACUCGUCUUGAAACACGAACCAAGGAGUCUAAGACUAACGCGAGUAUGGUGGUGGAAAAACCAACAUGCGAAAUGAAAGUAAAUGAUGCCAAGGCAACAGCAGCAUCGACCGACCAUGAUCACUAGAGAAAGGUUUGAGUAAGAGCGUUAUUCUUAGGACCCGAAAGAUGGUGAACUAUGCCUGUGUAGGGUGAAGUCAGGGGAAACUCUGAUGGAGGCUCGUAGCGAUACUGACGUGCAAAUCGUUCGUCGAACAUGGGUAUAGGGGCGAAAGACUAAUCGAACCAUCUAGUAGCUGGUUCCCUCCGAAGUUUCCCUCAGGAUAGCUGGGACAAGAACGCAGUUUUAUUAGGUAAAGCGAAUGAUUAGAGGCCUCGGGGAUAAAAUGUCCUCGACCUAUUCUCAAACUUUAAAUUGGUAAGAACUCCGGCCUUUCUUAAGUGAGGCACGGAGGCUCAAUGCGUGUCCUUAGUGGGCCAUUUUUGGUAAGCAGAACUGGCGAUGAGGGAUGCUCCUAACGUUGGGUUAAGGUGCCAAACUACACGCUCAUCAGAAACUACAAAGGGUGUUAGUUCAUCCAGACAGCAGGACGGUGGCCAUGGAAGUCGGAACCCGCUAAGGAGUGUGUUACAACUCACCUGCCGAAUGAACUAGUCCCGAAAAUGGAUGGCGCUAAAGCGUGUGACCGAUACCCAACCAUUGGCACGAGAGUGAGGUGUCAAUGAGUAGGAGGGCGUGAGCGUCGUAGAGAAGCCUCUGGUGUGAACCUGGGUUGAACGGCGUUUAGUGCAGAUCUUGGUGGUAGUAGCAAUUAUUCAAAUGAGAACUUUGAAGGCCGAAGUGGAGAAGGUUUCCGUGAGAACAGCAAUUGGUCACGGGUGACUCGAUCCUAAGACAUGGGGGAAAUCCUUGUUAAGUGUGCGCUAGCACGUAGUCGAAAGGGAAUGAGGUUAAUAUUCCUCAAGCUGGAUGUGGGCGUUAAAUGGCAACAUAAACGAACUUAGAGACGCCAGCGUGAGCCUCUGGAAGAGUUAUCUUUUCUUUUUAACAGCUUAGUGCCCCUGAAAUUGGUUUACCCAGAGAUAGGGGGACAUGGCUGGAAGAGCACCUUGCUUUUCGAGGUGUCAGGUGCGCUCAUGAUGGUCCAUGAAAAUCUAAGUGAGAUAGUUUCACACCAGGUCGUACCCACAACCGC
rnacentral:rRNA from 1 species